UACAGAGGUCCCAAGCGUUGUUCGGAUUCACUGGGCGUAAAGGGUGCGCAGGUGGGUUUGCAAGUUUGAUGUGAAAGCCCCGGGCUUAACCCGGGAAUGGCAUUGAAUACUGCAGAUCUGGAGGAUUGGAGGGGGGACUGGAAUUCUUGGUGUAGCAGUGAAAUGCGUAGAUAUCAAGAGGAACACCAGUGGCGAAGGCGAGUCCCUGGACAAUUCCUGACACUGAGGCACGAAAGCUAGGGGAGCAAACGGG
rnacentral:rRNA from 1 species